rnacentral:lncRNA from 1 species
AGUUGUAGUCAUGCAUAGACAAUGUUAAAUAUAAAAAUACAUAAAUAUCAUUCUCUAACGGUUUAACCUUUUAGAAUACAAUAAUUGUUUCAUAUGAUAUCAAAACGAAAAGUCCUGAAUUUGAAUCACGCCAGACACCUAACAUUAUUAAUUUUCUCCUAUUUAAUUCAAAUUUACGUCAUGGACCUUGCAAAAAAUUUCGAGCCCAAGUGUCUUAAGUUUUUAGAAUACAACAGUUGUAUCACAGACAAUACUAGCUUAGUUACUAGAAUUUUUUUUUUUCUUUCCCACAAUAAAUAUUGUUGUAAUUGAUAAUGAAUUGAGCUCCUAUACUUUUAAAACACUAAUUUAUUAGUGCUUGUCAAUUUUUGGCCUCUGGAUGAAGAUUUGUCGGGUUAAGAUAAUGGUCCCCUCUAGGGUUUAAUGGAUGGUAAGAAGAAUUAAUAGCAUGAUUUAAAAAGUAGAAUUGGUUAAAAUGAUAGAUCCAACGGUAGAAAACUUACAACCAUUAAGGCUAUAUUUGGUUUGAAGUCAGAAUUAGAAUCGAAAUAAGAAUGAAAAUAAGCUGGAAUCGAAAUCGGAAUGACUCAUUACCUUAUUCUAUUUGUUUCGCCAUGUGAAUCGAAAUCAGAAUGAACCAUUCCCAUUGCCAGUGUUUGAUUCAGAUAGCUAUAAAAAACGGAAUCAAAUUAAUAUACCAAUUUUAUCCUUAUAAUAAAGUUUAAUUAUUUCUAAUUAUUUUGAAUACUCUAUUUAAAAUAUAAAUGAACAACUUAUAAAAUAAUUAAUAAAAAGUAAGAUAAUUUUAUAUUGUAUAUUAUUUAAUAUAAAAAUGAAUUAUUUAUUAUUAUUUUUUAUAGUAAUAUUAUGUGGUAAUAUAUAAAUCACAAAAUAUUAUAUAAUUCUAAUAAACAGAAUACUUAACAAAACAUAAUCAUUUCCUAAAAAAAAAUGAAAAAGAAGUCAUAUUUUUAAAACAAAUAUUAUAACAAACUAAAAUUACGGUAAUAAUAUAAAAUUACCCAAAAUAAUAUAUCAUUUUUCAAAUAGUUUGAAAAAAAAUUAUUAUUAAAAUUUCAAAUGAAAUUACUCAAAAUUAUGAUACUGUAUAAAUUAAAAUAAAUUUCUAAACUUUUCUGCUGGAUCCAUUGAAAUUUGGAUUGAUAAGAUAAUUUAAAAUUGAGUUCGUAAUUCAAAACAUAGAAUUUUAUAAUUUAAAUUCAAACUAAAAUUAAAUAUUACAAAUUUACAUCAAAAUUUUGAAAUGAUGUCAAAAUUUUAAAUAUAUUUUUAAAAAAUUUUAAAAUUUGAAAUUGAGUGGAUAAUUCAAAAUAUAAAACUAAAUUUUGAUUUAUUUAAAUUCAAACUUAAAAUUUCAAUUUAAAUCCAUAAAAUUUAAUUUAAAUUUUAAAUAAAAUUUUAAAUUUUAAAUUAAAAUUUAAUUUAAAUUCAAAUUCAUAAAUUAGAUUCAAAAUGCUUGAUUGAAUUUUAAUUUUUAAUUCAAGUUUAAAUUAAAAUUUAAAAUUUAAAAUUUAUUUUCUAAAUUUAAACUUAUAUUUUAAUUGAAAAAUAAGAUUAAAAAUUAAAUUUAAUCCGAACAAAAUCCAUUUCGCCUAGAUUCAAUUUUGAAACUAGCAUCUUAGGCCGGAAUGGAAAAAUAGGCAAUUAAGGUAUUCUUGUUCCACUUGAGAAUCGGAAUGGAAUGUUACUCCCGCAUACUAAACCUCUAGAAACGGAAUCGUGUAUUCCGAUUCUGAUUCCGAUUUCGAUUUCUGGGUGAAAAAUGGGCGAACCAAAUACGCCCUAAGGGUUUGGUACUUUUAAAAGUACCAUAGCCAGACUCAUUGAUAAUUAUUAGUUGCAGUAAUAAUUAUUUGCCACAAACAAGAAUUAUUAUAAAUCGUUGUUAUAAAUCUUAUAAUAACAGCACACACUGUUAUCUAUUAAUCUAUUUCUAUUAAUUAAUUAAUAUUAAUAUCUAUGAAUUCUCAAUAUUAUUGCCACGUGGCAAGUUUUUCUUCACUUUCACUAAUCCUUUUUUUGAAUUAAUCUUUACUCUUUACUUUUUUCCUCCCCUUCUCUCUAUUCAAUGACCAGUAAUCAAUGUACUCUUUAAUUUAUACGUUUCUGAUUUUUUUUUCUCUUCAAUAGUAAUCCUUUCUUCUCCCUUAAAUAAUUUCUAACCAACAAAUUAAAAGAGGAGAAGGUGAAUAAUUACUACUUUCAGAUAUAGAGAUUGAGGAAGAGCAAGAGAAUCCUCCAAGUCCUAAUCCGUGCCAACCCGACUCAACUCGACCCUCCCCGAUCAAGAGAGUGCUUCUGAGUUUUCUAUCUAUGUCGAUCUCUUUGAAUUUAUGGAAAAAGAAGGUAAUUGAACGGCUUUUUCAGUAAAGGAAGCUAAUUGGACGACAAUAAUGUACGGAUCGAGGGAUAAGUUUGGGAAACGAAAAUCCUAAACCUAAUUUUUUUUCUUCAUUUUAAUUUCGAAUUCAUAUUAUGUAUCCUUUUUAGAAUUUAAUUUAUUUGUAUUAUUUUUGAUAUGGUGGUUGUAUCAAUCAAGGUUUUGAUUUAUAUGAAUUAUUUUGAUUAAUUUAUAAGUUAGUUUUGAUUUUAUAGUUGAUGUGGCAGUUCUGGCUCGCAACUUCUAACCAUCCCAUACCCAAAAGGGUGCAAAAUAUUGCAAACUUUCAUAAAGUUUUCAUCGCCAUCGUCGUCAUCAUCGCAAUAUUAUCAUCUCUAUUUUCAUACGACUAUUGCAGGUUUUUCUUUUGAAUGAUAAUUCUCGAUAGUUAUUUGUUUUUAACGAUCAUAUUGAUUAGUUCAAUUCAUACAUUUCACUACCAAAAAAAGCACAUUUGAAUUUUUAUUUUCCAAAGCUCUUUUUUCUUCCUCUUCAAUAUUUUUUAUUUUUUCUUCUAUUAUUUAUCCGCAGCAUCGCGCGAGUUACUACACCAGUGAUAAAUUAAGUUUUGAUGUAAUUAAAUUAAUGUACUCGAAUAAAAUUAUUGUAGGUUUU